rnacentral:rRNA from 1 species
CUACGGGGUGCUGCAGUGGGGAAUAUUGGACAAUGGGCGCAAGCCUGAUCCAGCAAUGCCGCGUGAGUGAAGACGGCCUUAGGGUUGUAAAACUCUUUCGCUAGGGAAGAUAAUGACUGUACCUAGUAAAGAAGUCCCGGCUAACUCCGUGCCAGCAGCCGCGGUAAUACGGAGGGGACUAGCGUUGUUCGGAAUUACUGGGCGUAAAGAGUUCAUAGGCGGACUGACAGGUUAGAGGUGAAAUCCCAGGGCUCAACCCUGGAACUGCCUUUAAAACUGUCAGUCUAGAGACCGGAAGAGGUUAGGGGAAUACCUAGUGUAGAGGUGAAAUUCGUAGAUAUUAGGUGGAACACCAGUGGCGAAGGCGCCUAACUGGUCCGGUACUGACGCUGAGGAACGAAAGCGUGGGGAGCAAACAGGAUUAGAUACCCCCGUAGUC